CCUACGGGAGGCUGCAGUGGGGAAUAUUGCACAAUGGGCGCAAGCCUGAUGCAGCCAUGCCGCGUGUGUGAAGAAGGCCUUCGGGUUGUAAAGCACUUUCAGCGGGGAGGAAGGCGUUAAGGUUAAUAACCUUGGCGAUUGACGUUACCCGCAGAAGAAGCACCGGCUAACUCCGUGCCAGCAGCCGCGGUAAUACGGAGGGUACAAGCGUUAAUCGGAAUUACUGGGCGUAAAGCGCACGCAGGCGGUCUGUCAAGUCGGAUGUGAAAUCCCCGGGCUCAACCUGGGAACUGCAUUCGAAACUGGCAGGCUAGAGUCUUGUAGAGGGGGGUAGAAUUCCAGGUGUAGCGGUGAAAUGCGUAGAGAUCUGGAGGAAUACCGGUGGCGAAGGCGGCCCCCUGGACAAAGACUGACGCUCAGGUGCGAAAGCGUGGGGAGCAAACAGGAUUAGAUACCCCAGUAGUC
rnacentral:rRNA from 1 species